AAGCUCGUAGUUGAAUUUCGGGAUCAAAUUGUCGGUCGUGCCUCGGUACGUACUGGCGUUAUUGGUUCCUCCCUUCUGAAGAGCCGCGAUGUCAUUAAUUUGGUGUCGCGGGGAAUCAGGACUGUUACUUUGAAAAAAUUAGAGUGUUUAAAGCAGGCUCGCGCUUGAAUACAUUAGCAUGGAAUAAUGAAAUAGGACGUUUGAUUCUAUUUUGUUGGUUUCUAGGAUCGACGUAAUGAUUAAUAGGGAUAGUUGGGGGCAUUAGUAUUCAAUUGUCAGAGGUGAAAUUCUUGGAUUUAUUGAAGACUAACUACUGCGUAAGCAUUUGCCAAGGAUGUUUUCAUUAAUCAAGAACGAAAGUUAGGGGAUCGAAGACGAUCAGAUACCGUCGUAGUCUUAACCAUAAACUAUGCCGACUAGGGAUCGGAUGAUGUUAAUUUUUUAAUGACUCAUUCGGCGCCUUACGGGAAACCAAAGUGUUUGGGUUCCGGGGGGAGUAUGGUCGCAAGGCUGAAACUUAAAGGAAUUGACGGAAGGGCACCACCAGGGGUGGAGCCUGCGGCUUAAUUUGACUCCACACGGGGAAACNNACCA
rnacentral:rRNA from 1 species